GAGUUUAGAAAAAUAAUAAGAGGUGGGAGCGCUCAGAAAGAAUCAGAAAAAAUUCAUUGAGGAGAUUCAGAAAUGCAAGGAGUGAAAUUUUACAGUAUAUAUUUGACUGAGGAGAGCCCUGUUGGAAGAGAAAAUUUAAUUUGAAGAGAAAAGGGCCAAAAUUGGAUGUUUAUGGACUCAAUUGGAUUUUAUUGAAGGUUUAUUUGAAUUUACAGAGGUUUUGAUUGCAAGGAAAAUUGAUUUUUAAGUCGAUCUAGGCCUUAAUUGGAAGAAAUUAAAGUUCUGGGGCCAAAUUAUAAUUUUUAGGAAUUUAUUAGGUCCAAUCAGGGGCUUAAUUGCAUAAAUAUUGAAGUUUAAUGGCCAAUUAGGGACUUAAUUGAGAAAAUCCGAAACCAGGGACCAAUUUGGAAAAGGCGCGUAAAUAAGAGGGGCGGUAUUGGAUUCAAUCCGGGGCCAAAUUAAAGAAAUUGAAAACUGGAGGACUGAUUUGAAAAGGGGCAGGAACUGUUCAUUGUCUUCCCCACCGAGCUGCCCGAGUGGCCGACUUCCAGGCGUGUUUUCUGACUCGUUUGGCCCCCAAAUCCGACAAAGCAUGCACCAACAUAUCCACAUGAAACCCCUUUAUCCCGGAGAAUGGUCCGGUCGGGUCGAAAAGGUUAUAAACGGGUCCGUUCAUUGGCCCGAAGUGG
rnacentral:lncRNA from 1 species